CUGGGGGCGGGGGGGUUCCUCAGCCCAGAUUGUGAGAGGGCGCAGGCGAGGCCAAGGGACCCCACCAGUGCACG
rnacentral:pre_miRNA from 1 species